CAAUAGCGUAUAUUAAAGUUGUUGCGGUUAAAAAGCUCGUAGUUGGAUUUCUGCCGAGGACGACCGGUCCGCCCUCUGGGUGAGUAUCUGGCUCGGCCUGGGCAUCUUCUUGGAGAACGUAGCUGCACUUGACUGUGUGGUGCGGUAUCCAGGACUUUUACUUUGAGGAAAUUAGAGUGUUUCAAGCAGGCUUACGCCUUGAAUACAUUAGCAUGGAAUAAUAAGAUAGGACCUCGGUUCUAUUUUGUUGGUUUCUAGAGCUGAGGUAAUGAUUAAUAGGGAUAGUUGGGGGCAUUCGUAUUUAACUGUCAGAGGUGAAAUUCUUGGAUUUGUUAAGGACGGACUACUGCGAAAGCAUUUGCCAAGGAUGUUUUCAUUGA
rnacentral:rRNA from 1 species